UGCUCAGCGCCGAUGGUAGUGUGGGGUCUCCCCAUGUGAGAGUAGGACAUCGUCAAGC
rnacentral:rRNA from 1 species